rnacentral:rRNA from 1 species
GAGCGAAAUUUAGUAGCGAAGUAGCUGAUUUCACACUGUCAAGAAAAGUCUCUAUCGAGGUUAAAGGUACCCGUACCGCAAACCGACACAGGUGGGUGAGGAGAGUAUCCUAAGGCCAGCGAGAGAACUGUUGUUAAGGAACUCGGCAAAAUGACCCCGUAACUUAGGGAUAAGGGGUGCCACCAUCAGGUGGCCGCAGAGAAUAGGCCCAAGCGACUGUUUACCAAAAACAUAGGUUUCUGCUAAGUCGCAAGACGAUGUAUAGGAGCUGACGCCUGCCCGGUGCUGGAAGGUUAAGGGGAUCUGUUAGAGCAAUCGAAGCAGUGAACUUAAGCCCCAGUAAACGGCGGCCGUAACUAUAACGGUCCUAAGGUAGCGAAAUUCCUUGUCGGGUAAGUUCCGACCCGCACGAAAGGCGUAACGAUUUGGGCACUGUCUCAACAACAGACUCGGUGAAAUUGUAAUUCCGGUGAAGAUGCCGGAUACCUGCGACAGGACGGAAAGACCCCAUGGAGCUUUACUGUAGCUUGACAUUGGGUCUUGGUACUACAUGUACAGGAUAGGUGGGAGGCUUUGAAACCAGGACGCCAGUUUUGGCGGAGCCAUCCUUGGGAUACCACCCUUGUAGUACUGGGACUCUAACCAUAGGCCAUGAAUCUGGUCUUGGGACACUGUCAGGUGGGCAGUUUGACUGGGGCGGUCGCCUCCCAAAAGGUAACGGAGGCGCUCAAAGGUUCUCUCAGUACGGUCGGAAAUCGUACGUAGAGUGUAAAGGCAAAAGAGAGCUUGAUUGCAAGACAUACAGGUCGAGCAAGGAUGAAAAUCGGACUUAGUGAUCCGGUGGUUCUGCGUGGAAGGGCCAUCGCUCAACGGAUAAAAGCUACCCUGGGGAUAACAGGCUUAUCUCCCCCAAGAGUCCACAUCGACGGGGAGGUUUGGCACCUCGAUGUCGGCUCAUCACAUCCUGGGGCUGUAGUAGGUCCCAAGGGUUGGGCUGUUCGCCCAUUAAAGUGGUACGCGAGCUGGGUUCAGAACGUCGUGAGACAGUUCGGUCCCUAUCCGUCGCAGGCGUAGGAAAUUUGAGAAGACCUGUCCUUAGUACGAGAGGACCGGGAUGGACGUACCUCUGGUGUACCAGUUGUCCUGCCAAGGGCAUGGCUGGGUAGCUAUGUACGGAAUGGAUAAGCGCUGAAAGCAUCUAAGCGCGAAGCCAACUUCAAGAUAAGAUUUCCCACCGCAAGGGUAAGACCCCAGAAAGACUAUCUGGUUGAUAGGUCGAAGGUGUAAGUGCAGCAAUGUAUUUAGCUUAUCGAUACUAAUAGGUCGAGGACUUGACCA